ensembl:lncRNA
GCAGAGCCCACUGAAGCAUGUCAGGGUGUCUCCACUAACUGAUGGAAAACGCAUCUUCAAGGAGUCAAUACUGAUUGUGUAAACAAAAGUCUCCAUAUCCUGGAGAAGGCGACUUCAUUGAGCUCUCCUUGAUUGAUAGACACAUCCCAUGAGUUCCGAGACAGAAGCUUCUCGAGGGCACAACCCACCUAGUUUAUGACUGCACCCAUCAUGUGUCUGGCUUGGUUCCUGGCAUGUAAGAAGGACUCAGAAGAAGUGUGCCAGUCCAAUGAGUAGCAGGGAAGGAGAAGGCUGAGUAUUCAAAGUUACAAAGCAGAAUCAGAGUACCUGCCAUUCAACAGAGGAAAACGCAUCGCAUCCAGUGCAAAGAGGAAAAGGAGCCCUGGGCUUCUCAUUAAGGUCACCUGCAGCUUGGCGGAUGUGGCUCGCACGUGCUGACGGCUUCUGCAUCCGUCCUCCACCGCGGCCCAGCAAACCAUCACGGAUGUAGCGACUGGAGACAACAUACAUCUCUUGUCUUGCAGUCCCCGUGGGUCCUCAGCCCAGCAUACCAUCACGGAUGUAGCGACUGGAGACAACAUACAUCUCUUGUUUCGCAGUCCCUGUGGGUCCUCAGCCCAGCAUCUCCCAGGCUGUGGUCAAGGUGUCAGCUGGGAUUGUGACCUCAUAGAUGGAGAAGCAGGGCGUCCAAGCAAACACGCUGCCAACGGGCUCAGACAUCUUUCCUAGUUUUGAGGAGACCCCGCUUUGUGUGACCAGCUCUCCACCCUUUCCGUCCAAGACCAGAGAAAGCAGCAAGAGCUGCCGUCGCC